UGGGGGAUAACCUGGGGAAACCCGGGCUAAUACCGCAUACGUCCUACGGGAGAAAGGGGGCUCCGGCUCCCGCUAUCGGAUGAGCCUAUGUCGGAUUAGCUAGUUGGUGAGGUAACGGCUCACCGGGGCGACGAUCCGUAGCUGGUCUGAGAGGAUGAUCAGCCACAUCGGGACUGAGACACGGCCCGAACUCCUACGGGAGGCAGCAGUGGGGAAUAUUGGACAAUGGGCGCAAGCCUGAUCCACCCAUGCCGCGUGUGUGAAGAAGGCCCUCGGGUUGUAAAGCACUUUCACCGAGGAAGAACGCCUAAGCGGUUAAUACCCGCUAAGAAAGGACAUCACUCGCAGGAACAAGCACCGGCUAACUCCGUGCCAGCAGCNCGCGGUAAAUACGAGAGGGUGCGAGCGUUAAUCGGAAUUACGGGGCGAUAAAGCGCGCGUAGGUGGCUGUGAUAAGCAGGUUGUGAAAGCCCCGGGCUCAACUCUGGGAACGGCAUCCGGAACUGUCAAGCUAGAGUGCAGGAGAGGAAGGGUAGAAUCCCCGGUGUACCGGUGAAAUGCGUAGAGAUCGGGAGGAAUACCAGUGGCGAAGGCGGCCUUCUGGACUGACACUGACACUGAGGUGCGAAAGCGUGGGUAGCAAACAGGAUUAGAUACCCUGGUAGUCCACGCCGUAAACGAUGUCGACCAGCCGUUGGGUGCCUAGCGCACUUUGUGGCGAAGUUAACGCGAUAAGUCGACCGCCUGGGGAGUACGGCCGCAAGGUUAAAACUCAAAUGAAUUGACGGGGGCCCGCACAAGCGGUGGAGCAUGUGCUUUAAUUCGAUGCAACGCGAAGAACCUUACCUACUCUUGACAUCCUGCGAAUUCGGUAGAGAUACAUUAGUGCCUUCGGGAACGCAGAGACAGGGGCUGCAUGGCUGUCGUCAGCUCGUGUCGUCAAAUGUUGGAUUAAGUUCCCGUAAACCACCGCAANCCCUUGUCCUUAUUUGCCAGCGGGUAAUGGCGGGAACUCUAAGGAGACUGCCGGUGACAAACCGGAGGAAGGUGGGGACGACGUCAAGUCAUCAUGGCCCUUACGAGUAGGGCUACACACGUGCUACAAUGGUCGGUACAAAGGGUUGCGAGCUCGCGAGAGUCAGCCAAUCCCGAAAAGCCGAUCUCAGUCCGGAUCGGAGUCUGCAACUCGACUCCGUGAAGUCGGAAUCGCUUGUAAUCG
rnacentral:rRNA from 1 species